rnacentral:rRNA from 1 species
AUACGGAGGGUGCAAGCGUUAUCCGGAUUUAUUGGGUUUAAAGGGUCCGCAGGCGGAUUAAUAAGUCAGUGGUGAAAUCCUCUCGCUCAACGAGAGAACUGCCAUUGAAACUGUUAGUCUUGAAUUCGGUCGAAGUAGGCGGAAUGUGUCAUGUAGCGGUGAAAUGCAUAGAUAUGACACAGAACACCGAUAGCGAAGGCAGCUUACUAGACCUGGAUUGACGCUCAUGGACGAAAGCGUGGGGAGCGAACAGGAUUAGAAACCCCUGUAGUCC